UAAGACCCGCAGGACAUUACCCUGCACCCCUUGAAUGCAACCCAAGUGCUCUAAUUAAGCUAGGGCCUUC
rnacentral:tRNA from 1 species